AUACAGAGGGUGCAAGCGUUAAUCGGAUUUACUGGGCGUAAAGCGCGCGUAGGUGGCUAAUUAAGUCAAAUGUGAAAUCCCCGAGCUUAACUUGGGAAUUGCAUUCGAUACUGGUUAGCUAGAGUAUGGGAGAGGAUGGUAGAAUUCCAGGUGUAGCGGUGAAAUGCGUAGAGAUCUGGAGGAAUACCGAUGGCGAAGGCAGCCAGCUGGCCUAAUACUGACACUGAGGUGCGAAAGCAUGGGGAGCAACCAGGUUUAGAUCCCCUGGUGGUCCAUGCCGUAAACGAUGUCUACUAGCCGUUGGGGCCCUUGGGGCUUUAGUGGCGCAGCUAACGCGAUAAGUAGACCGCCUGGGGAGUACGGUCGCAAGACUAAAACUCAAAGGAAUUGACGGGG
rnacentral:rRNA from 1 species